rnacentral:tRNA from 1 species
UAGGGCGUGGCCAAGUGGUAGGCAACGAGUUUUGGUCCUGCUAUUCGGAGGUUAGAAUCCUUCCGUCCUAG